GCGGCGCCCGUUGUGAAGAGGGUGAUGAGGUUUCCAGUUUCUAAACUCGGGGUUGGAUCUUUCCGCGUCGAAUCUAGCCUGGCACCAAAGUGCAGAAGACCAACAUAUGAUGGGAAUGAAGGAUAAGGAAAAGAAUGAGAUAUCAGUGGCUACAUUUGGAAAUACUUUAUGGACGACUGUGUCAAUCAGCAGGACAACCAGCACAAUAGGCAAAGGAUAACAUUAUUUAGAAGGUUCAUAUCUGGCACAAAUUCACACUGUUCAUAAAGUGUAAAGAGUGCUAAUUGCUCAUAUUUAUUCUCCAUUAAAGGGACCAAUCAAUUAUUCAUAGACUUAAAUAUAUUCCUGACUUUUAGAAAGUGAAACUAAUUGAGUUCCUAAAAGCCUUUGUAGAGGCCUUGUUGGGACCCCAUAUUUUGCACUGGGUACCAAAAAAAAAUGAAGUUACAACCAUGUAAAUCUUGGGGAGGAUUAAUUGCACAAUUUGCUGCAAACCUAUCUCAUUAUCCAUAAAAUAUGAAAGAGUGCUGAAUGGCUCAUGUAUUUUGCAUUAAAGUAAUCAAAUAAAAAAUCUCCAUUAUCUCCAUAGGUCCAGCAAUUUUUUCUUCCCUCCCCAGCACAUAUCCCCAGCUGCAAUCUCUGACUUUUUUUUCACUGUAAUCUUGCACUCAAUUUCUGGUCGAAUAUUUUCCUCUUAAUGGUUGAGUCAUUUGUUGUGUCCUCUUUGCCUCCUCUCUCCACCCCAAAUGAGGUUUUGCAGUUAUAAUGUCAUUAAAUACUAAAGGGAGAAAAAUCAAAGAAUGAAAAGUGGAAGAGAAUAAGGAAACAUAGGACUAAAACUUGCAAAAGAGAAUGAAUGGGUUUGUGGCUUUGGUGGGCUGAGGGGCGGGGACUGUGUGGGUAUUUGGAAAGAAGCAGAAUAAAGGAAAACAAGGCGAACCUAGCUAAUUUUCUGAAGAGAGAUGUCUGUCUUGCUAGAAAUGUGAAGCAAUAGCAGCUCUGGUCUCAUCCUCUUAUUUGAUUCAGGCUCUCCUAAAUCACUGCUAUUCACAUUCCAAGGUACAGUCAUUUUACCUGUUCUUCCUCCCAACUUGCAUAUUAAAUCAAUUAAUUGUGAAUGCAAUGGGAUGUGAGAUGUGGUUGUAACUUAUUGCAUUCCCAUAAUUAUUGAGGUUAAAAACAUAUUCUGGAGUGUCAUUUCACCUCCGACUGGGAAGAUGUCUAUGGCUCAAAACACUGAACUUCUUUCUUGUAAGUCCAAAUGGAAUUUGCCACAACUUCCUGGUUCUAAGCAUUUUAAGUUUGAUGUAAAGUCGGGUUUUAUAUGAUUUGUUUUGAUGUAGUGCAAAACAAUGAGUAUGGUCCUUAAUUGGAAAACUCUAUGGAAUGGUUACCAAUGUCUUAAAUUUAAAUUGCUGGCUUAUUAUUUUAGCUUAAAUUCAAAUUAUGUAG